rnacentral:rRNA from 1 species
GACGAACGCUGGCGGCAAGCUUAACACAUGCAAGUCGAACGCCGUAGCAAUACGGAGUGGCAGACGGGUGAGUAACGCGUGGGAACGUGCCUUUCGGUUCGGAACAACUGAGGGAAACUUCAGCUAAAACCGGAUACGCCCUUCGGGGGAAAGUUUACGCCGAAAGAUCGGCCCGCGUUAGAUUAGCUAGUUGGUGGGGUAAUGGCCUACCAAGGCGACGAUCUAUAGCUGUUCUGAGAGGAAGAUCAGCCACACUGGGACUGAGACACGGCCCAGACUCCUACGGGAGGCAGCAGUGGGGAAUAUUGGACAAUGGGCGCAAGCCUGAUCCAGCUAUGCCGCGUGGAUGAAGAAGGCCUUAGGGUUGUAAAGUCCUUUCGUUGGUGAAGAUAAUGACGGUAACCAAAGAAGAAGCCCCGGCUAAUUUCGUGCCAGCCGCCGCGGUAA